UGUAAGCGUAUACCAAAGUUGUUGCAGUUAAAACGCUCGUAGUCGGAAUUUGGCAGUUCCGGAUGUGUGCACGUCGUGUGCGCACUUCGCGGGGAUUGCUUUUGUGGUCUUGCGUAGGAUGAGGCACUUUUAUUAGUGAACGUCCUCACGCAACCACUUUUUAAUGUGAGAAAAUCAGAGUGCUCAAAGCAGGCAUUUGCCGUGAAUGUAUUAGCAUGGAAUAAUAGAAUAGGACUUGGUUCUAUUUUGUUGGUUUGUUGGGACUGAGUAAUGAUUAAGAGGGACAGUUGGGGGCAUUUGUAUUUCGGUGCUAGAGGUGAAAUUCUUAGAUUACCGAAAGACAAACUGCUGCGAAAGCGUCUGCCAAGGAUGUUUUCAUUGA
rnacentral:rRNA from 1 species